CAGCAUACUAAGGAAGAGAGCAAGGCAGCAGGGGGAAGGGCUCCCAGGGAACAGAGCAUGAUGUGAACUCCAAGACAUCAGCCAUUCCCUCAACUCCUAUACUGGACAAGAAAUGAACCCACAAUUCACCUGGCUCCAGAAUGCCUGGCCCUGGCAGUCUGGGUAUCCAUGGCAAUGGCAAACCAGACCUGGUGAAGCAUUAAUAGCAAAAAUAAGAGCACGUAGUUCUCCAGAAUAAAGACUACGCUUUCCAAUCUUCCCUGCUGCUGGGUACAACCAUGUGAAUGAGCUUUGAUCAAUGGGAUAUGAGGAGAAGCAAUGAAUGGAACCUUCGGGUCACCACUAAAAGGGAUGGGUUUGGAAUAUGGACAUCAUGGUGAACCCUCCUCUUCAAACCUACAGCAGACGUCACCCUAGAAUUAUACAGCUCAUGUCUGGAAUGUUACACGAGAGGGAAAUAAACAUCUGUUGGGUUUAA